GAUGAACGCUGGCUACAGGCUUAACACAUGCAAGUCGAGGGGAAACGACGGGGAAGCUUGCUUCCCCGGGCGUCGACCGGCGCACGGGUGAGUAACGCGUAUCCAACCUGCCUCUGACUGAGGGAUAACCCGUCGAAAGUCGGCCUAAUACCUCAUGGCAUCGUCUGCGGGCAUCCAACGACGAUUAAAGAUUUCAUCGGUCAGGGAUGGGGAUGCGUCUGAUUAGCUAGUUGGCGGGGUAACGGCCCACCAAGGCGACGAUCAGUAGGGGUUCUGAGAGGAAGGUCCCCCACAUUGGAACUGAGACACGGUCCAAACUCCUACGGGAGGCAGCAGUGAGGAAUAUUGGUCAAUGGGCGAGAGCCUGAACCAGCCAAGUAGCGUGCAGGAUGACGGCCCUAUGGGUUGUAAACUGCUUUUAUGCGGGGAUAAAGUGAGGGACGUGUCCUUCAUUGCAGGUACCGCAUGAACAAGGACCGGCUAAUUCCG
rnacentral:rRNA from 1 species